rnacentral:lncRNA from 1 species
GCCGCCCCCGCCUCUCUCUCUCUCUCUCUCUCUCUCUCUCUCUCUAUAUAUAUAUAUAUAUGUGUGUGUGUGUGUGUGUAUGUAUUAGUUCUUGAAUUCAAUUUACUAGUUAUGGUUUGUUGUUGAUUGUACGGAAACCUAGGCUUCCUCCAACAAACAAUGAUGGAGGAUUUGCCUUUAUUGCUUCCAUGUUCAAUCUGGAGUGCUUCCAAUUAAUAAAGUCGAAAGUACUUUUUUUUCCCCUAUGUCACCAG